CAGUAGCCACGGGAAUGCGGAGGGGGCUAGCGUUGUUCGGAAUUACUGGGCGUAAAGCGCACGUAGGCGGCUUGGUAAGUUAGGGGUGAAAGCCUGGAGCUCAACUCCAGAAUUGCCUUUAAGACUGCCGAGCUAGCAGGUGAGAGAGGUAAGUGGAAUUCCGAGUGUAGAGGUGAAAUUCGUAGAUAUUCGGAAGAACACCAGUGGCGAAGGCGGCUUACUGGCUCAUACUGGACGCUGAGGUGCGAAAGCGUGGGGAGCAAACAGGAUUAGAUACCCCCGUAGUCCCUGUCUCUUAUAC
rnacentral:rRNA from 1 species